rnacentral:lncRNA from 1 species
UUUUCUAUGAUGAAAACGUAAUGAAGUCUUUACCUUUUUUGCGGACGUUCUCUCUUGUUACUUACUACUAACCAAAGAGAAGAAAAUGAAAAAACCCAAAAAAAGUGAAUGAAGAAGAAUAAGAAGACGAAGAAGUAUAGAAUUAAUGUUUUUUUUUUUUCUUUUAUCCUACACGAGUCCACACUCAUGCAUCUAUGCAUCCUUACUUUUAUUCUUUGUCUUUACUUAUAACUUAUAAAACAUUAUCAAUUUUAGAAAGAAAAACAAUCAUCGUGAUCAAUGUAUUCAUGAAAUAUUUUUUUUUCUAAUUUCUCUAUGCUAUUUUGUUUGUCAAAACGCCUAUUUUAUUUCUUUUAAAAGGAUAUUCGUUUAAUAAAUUAUAUACACUCCUAGAGACCAAAAGAAAUAAUUAAAAAAAAAAAAUGAAAUGUUUAAUUUGUUAAAAUUCUAUACACUUCUAGGGAUCACUAGAUUAUAGCUCUUGUUAUGCAUGGUUGCGUUUAUAUAUAGAAAACCCUUCAUGCACAUAUUCG